rnacentral:ncRNA from 1 species
CCGGUCGCCGACCGGGGUGUGAUGAAAAUGGGAAUCAGGUGCAAGUCCUGGACAGACCCGCUGCUGUAACUCCUCAUACCAAACCCUCAGAUCUCAGAGCCACUGCCGUCGGUCAGACGGUGGGAAGGCGGUCGAAGAGGGGGGAGAAGUCAGAAGACCUGCCAACAGAA